rnacentral:lncRNA from 1 species
AAAGCGUCGGCUAGGCCAGGCGGAGGAGCGCCGGAGCCUGCGGUGUCCAAGCGAGUGGGAACUGGAGCAGAGGAGCCGCGGCAGGGAAAUGCACCUAGCUUUCAGUCUGGCUCCGCUUGAUGGAUAACUCAGAGCUCGAGGAAGGCGACCCUGACUCGACCCGGCAGAAAAGAGGAGGUUCCCAUGUCGCUCAGGCUGGCCCCCAUACUAUAAAGCUUUAAAAUGCUGACCCUACAGUUUCCACCUCCUAAGUGCUAGGAUUACAGCCUAUAGGGUCCAUUAAUGCAUUCCACAUACUCCUGAGUGUGGAGCCAUCUGGUGGGGCAUGGCCAUCUUACAAGGGAGAACACUCUUAAAGAAAGCUGACUCUUCUCCACUAGCGACUGUCAACUAUGAAUACAUCCUUAGCUAGAGGUGAGGGCUGUGAGCCUCUCCUUGGUCCAUGCUGGAAUGUUGGCUGGCUGGUCUUGUGCUGGGCAGAGCUGCUGUGAUUUCGAGUUCCAGAGGAUAGAGGAUACCAGUCUAUCACGGAGCUGAAACAGCAGACACAGCAGCAGGAACUGGACGCUGAGAAUGGAUAUCCUUUACCAUAAGCACAGAGCAGAAAGAGCCAGCUGCAAGUGGCAGCGGAGAAAUAACCUAUCAGAUGGUGCUGAAACCCGGGAGAAGUUAAGUCCCCAGCGGGAUGGUUUUGGUGUUUCCUGGCCACGUGGGAACCACUUCUGUCCCUCUCUCUUCUCUGCUGGAUACAUCAUUUCUUCGGACUCAUGAGUACCCAUCCCUAGAUAUCCUGACUAUCCAGGUCCAGGACCCUCUGAGCUCUUUGCUGAGUUGCGGCCCCGACAGAGUUAGCCCCAUCCGAACAUCCCCCGUUUUGGGGGAACCCCUGAUAUAGAGACUUCUUAUCUGAGGUUACCGCCCCAACAUAAACCGUUGGGUCGAUCUCAGACUAUAAAUUGGGAUGACAAUUCAACAGUAUUGAGAUCUCUGGCAAACGUUGGGAAGAUGGGUGUCACAGGAUCUAAAACAAAAAUGUAUUCCUAUGUCCAGUUUUUGGGAAGCUGCGCUCUCCUAAUCUCCCUUCACUGCAUUGAGCACAGGGCUCCAGGAGCCGCCUAGCCACUCCCACCUCUCAUCCCCAUCUCCUUCCUGUCCUCCUGUGGCUCCGUUGUCAGUGGCAGCACCAGCACCAGCAGUUGUGAUGACUAAGGGUGGCGAGGCACCCAUGUUCCCAGAAGUAAUUCCAAAUAAACUCCUUGGUUCACCAAGG